rnacentral:rRNA from 1 species
UACGGGGGGGGCAAGCGUUGUUCGGAAUUACUGGGCGUAAAGGGCUCGUAGGCGGCCAACUAAGUCAGACGCGAAAUCCCUCGGCUUAACCGGGGAACGGCGUCUGAUACUGGAUGGCUUGAAUCCGGGAGAGGGAUGCGGAAUUCCAGGUGUAGCGGUGAAAUGCGUAGAUAUCUGGAGGAACACCGGUGGCGAAGGCGGCAUCCUGGACCGGCAUUGACGCUGAGGAGCGAAAGCCAGGGGAGCAAACGGG